GACGAACGCUGGCGGCGUGCUUAACACAUGCAAGUCGAACGAUGAAGCCGGAGCUUGCUCUGGUGAAUUAGUGGCGAACGGGUGAGUAACACGUGAGUAACCUGCCCUUGACUCUGGGAUAACUGCGGGAAAUGCUAGCUAAUACCGGAUACGACCCUCGGAGGCAUCUCCAGGGGGUGGAAAGAAUUUCGGUCAAGGAUGGACUCGCGGCCUAUCAGCUAGUUGGUGAGGUAACGGCUCACCAAGGCGACGACGGGUAGCCGGCAUGAGAGGGUGACCGGCCACACUGGGACUGAGACACGGCCCAGACUCCUACGGGAGGCAGCAGUGGGGAAUAUUGCACAAUGGGCGCAAGCCUGAUGCAGCAACGCCGCGUGAGGGAUGACGGCCUUCGGGUUGUAAACCUCUUUUAGUAGGGAAGAAGCGAAAGUGACGAUACCUGCAGAAAAAGCACCGGCUAACUACGUGCCAGCCGCCGCAGUAA
rnacentral:rRNA from 1 species